UACGUAGGUGGCAAGCGUCGUCCGGAAUUAUUGGGCGUAAAGCGCGCGCAGGCGGUCCUUUAAGUCUGAUGUGAAAGCCCACGGCUCAACCGUGGAGGGUCAUUGGAAACUGGAGAACUUGAGUGCAGAAGAGGAAAGCGGAAUUCCACGUGUAGCGGUGAAAUGCGUAGAGAUGUGGAGGAACACCAGUGGCGAAGGCGGCUUUCUGGUCUGUAACUGACGCUGAGGCGCGAAAGCGUGGGGAGCAAACAGG
rnacentral:rRNA from 1 species